GUGGUUUAAUUCGAAGAUACACGAAGAACCUUACCUGGCCUUGACAUGGUAGGAACCCUUAAGAGAUUAGGGGGUGCUAGCUUGCUAGAACCUACACACAGGUGCUGCACGGCUGUCGUCAGCUCGUGUCGUGAGAUGUUGGGUUAAGUCCCGCAACGAGCGCAACCCUCGUCCUUAGUUGCUAACAGUUCGGCUGAGCACUCUAGGGAGACUGCCUUCGCAAGGAGGAGGAAGGUGAGGACGACGUCAAGUCAUCAUGGCCCUUACGGCCAGGGCUACACACGUGCUACAAUGGGGCGUACAGAGAGCUGCGAUACCGCGAGGUGGAGCCAAUCUCUUAAAGCGUCUCUCAGUUCGGAUUGUUCUCUGCAACUCGAGAACAUGAAGCUGGAAUCACUAGUAAUCGCAGGUCAGCUAUGCUGCGGUGAAUACGUUCCCGGGUCUU
rnacentral:rRNA from 1 species